AAUCAACGCUGGCGGCGUGCCUAACACAUGCAAGUCGAACGAGAAAAGGGAGCAAUCCCUGAGUAAAGUGGCGACCGGGUGAGUAACACGUGACCAAUCUACCUUCGAGUGGGGGAUAACUCCGGGAAACCGGGGCUAAUACCGCAUAACAUCUUUGGAUCGGAAGAACUGAAGAUCAAAGGAGCAAUUCGCUUGAAGAGGAGGUCGCGGCUGAUUAGCUAGUUGGCGGGGUAAUGGCCCACCAAGGCGAAGAUCGGUAGCCGGCCUGAG
rnacentral:rRNA from 1 species